rnacentral:rRNA from 1 species
AUGUAUCAACGAUGAAAUACCACUACUCUUAUUGUUUCCUUACUUACUUGAUUAAGUGGAACGUGUAUCAUUUCUUAGCCAUUAUACGGACAUAUUUAUAUGUCUUAUGGUAUUGGGUUUUGAUGCAAGCUUCUUGAUCAAAGUACUAAGAGUUUGUUAUAUAAUUGUAAACAAAUUUCGAUGAGAUGAUGGCAUUUCGGUGUUAUUGUCAAUAUUUGAAAUUUGGUAUAACUCCCAUGACUCAGGUAUGAUCCAAUUCAAGG